rnacentral:rRNA from 1 species
CCUACGGGUGGCAGCAGUGGGGAAUAUUGGGCAAUGGGCGCAAGCCUGACCCAGCAACGCCGCGUGAAGGAAGAAGGCUUUCGGGUUGUAAACUUCUUUUCUCAGGGACGAAGAAAGUGACGGUACCUGAGGAAUAAGCCACGGCUAACUACGUGACAGCAGCUGCGGUAAUACGUAGGUGGCAAGCGUUAUCCGGAUUUAUUGGGUUAAAGGGGCGUGUAGGCGGGAGCGCAAGUCAGAUGUGAAAACUCAGGCCUCAACCCUGAGCCUGCAUUUGAAACUGUGUUUCUUGAGUGCUGGAGAGGCAAGCGGAAUGCCGGGUGUAGCGGUGAAAUGCAUAGAUAUAC